rnacentral:lncRNA from 10 species
ACAAAACAUCAAGCCAACAGUUCAGGACUAGUCAUUCAAAUGGACUAAAGGUGGGGGAGAAAAAAUAAGAGUGGAUAAAAGAAAGAAAGAAAACAGAGAAAGGUGGGAAAAAAAAAACAAAGGAAGGAAGAGAGAAAAGAGAAUGAGAGGAAGAGAAGGAAGGGGAAAAACAAGAUUGACUUUACAGUAUGAGAUAUACUAUUAUAUAUUGUAUGAUGCCUCUGGCUUCCCUCUAUCACACGUCUUCUUUUCGAGUAAAGGUUUUUCAUAAAUGUGAGCGUGGAAGAAGAAACCAGAUGGUGUCAGAAGCGGAUCCGAAGUGGAACUUUUAGUGACCCUCAGGAGCACUGAAUGAACAUGCAAGGAACCUGCAGGACCCACUUGUGUCCAUUGAUCUCUGGGAGCAGCUGGGAUAAGCUCCUUUUCGGAUUUCAGAGCUCCAUGGACUUGUGUCUUGAGAUCCCUGAGUUUCUUUGAGCAAAUUUCUGAUCCAAAAUGGGUUUGGCAUCAUGGCAGAAACAGGACUGGGUCCACGAAUGGAUUUGAUCCAGGAAUGAACUGGCUUGGAUCCAGUCAGAGGU